AACGAACGCUGGCGGCAGGCUUAACACAUGCAAGUCGAGCGCGCCCUUCGGGGUGAGCGGCGGACGGGUGAGUAACGCGUGGGAACGUGCCCCUUUCUUCGGAAUAGCCUCGGGAAACUGGGAGUAAUGCCGAAUACGCCCCGCAAGGGGGAAAGAUUUAUCGGAGAGGGAUCGGCCCGCGUUGGAUUAGGUAGUUGGUGGGGUAAUGGCCUACCAAGCCGACGAUCCAUAGCUGGUUUGAGAGGAUGACCAGCCACACUGGGACUGAGACACGGCCCAGACUCCUACGGGAGGCAGCAGUGGGGAAUCUUGGACAAUGGGGGCAACCCUGAUCCAGCCAUGCCGCGUGAUCGAUGAAGGCCUUAGGGUUGUAAAGAUCUUUCAGCUGGGAAGAUAAUGACGGUACCAGCAGAAGAAGCCCCGGCUAACUCCGUG
rnacentral:rRNA from 1 species